rnacentral:rRNA from 1 species
AAUGAACGCUGGCGGCAUGCCUAACACAUGCAAGUCGAACGAAGGCUUCGGCCUUAGUGGCGCACGGGUGCGUAACGCGUGGGAAUCUGCCCUCAGGUUCGGAAUAACAGCGAGAAAUUGCUGCUAAUACCGGAUGAUAUCGCGAGAUCAAAGAUUUAUCGCCUGAGGAGGAGCCCGCGUAGGAUUAGCUAGUUGGUGUGGUAAAGGCGCACCAAGGCGACGAUCCUUAGCUGGUCUGAGAGGAUGAUCAGCCACACUGGGACUGAGACACGGCCCAGACUCCUACGGGAGGCAGCAGUGGGGAAUAUUGGACAAUGGGCGAAAGCCUGAUCCAGCAAUGCCGCGUGAGUGAUGAAGGCCUUAGGGUUGUAAAGCUCCUUUACCCGGGAUGAUAAUGACAGUACCGGGAGAAUAAGCUCCGGCUAACUCCGUGCCAGCAGCCGCCGUAA